rnacentral:rRNA from 1 species
AGGGGUGAUGCCUGCCCAGUGACACUGUUUAACGGCCGCGGUAUCCUGACCGUGCGAAGGUAGCAUAAUCACUCGUCUUUUAAAUAAAGACUAGAAUGAAUGGCUAAACGAGGCUCUACCUGUCUCUUACAAAUUAUCAGUGAAAUUGAUAUCCUCGUGCAAAAGCGAGAAUAAUCCCAUAAGACGAGAAGACCCUGUGGAACUUUAAGUAUAAGUCAACUACUAAACUACAACACCAACUCUACUGAAACACCACAUAAAAUUACUUGACCUUACUUUCGGUUGGGGUGACCUUGGAGAACAAUAAAACCUCCAAAAAAAUAUACCAAGAUUAACAGCCCAAAGUGCCUAAGGCAAAACGAUCCAAUACAUUUGAUCAACGAACCAAGCUACCCCAGGGAUAACAGCGCAAUCCCCUCUUAGAGUCCAUAUCAACGAUGGGGGUUUACGACCUCGAUGUUGGAUCAGGACAUCCUAAUGGUGCAGCCGCUAUUAAGGGUCC